rnacentral:tRNA from 1 species
AGGAUUUUAAGUUAUUAAAACUAAGUGCCUUCAAAGCCCUUAAAAAAGUAAACCCUUUUAAAUCCUA